rnacentral:lncRNA from 1 species
UCUUCAUUCUCAGCUGUGGGUUACCACUCUGUGGUCAUCAAUGCCUGGUCACCGAUGGGCAAUUGAAAGUGGCUGCAAUGUUACCCCUUGGUCCCGGAGGAUGCCACCAUCAUCGCUGACCUCACCGGAGACAGGCAGUUUACCUACACUAAGCACAGUGGUUGAGGCCCGCUGAUCUUCAGAGCUCUGCUGUUGAAGCCCGGUGACUCAUUCCUCACUCAAGGUAUUUUGGGUUUGUUACUUCUCAGCCGCUUCACCAAGAACCACAUGGAGCCAAAACAGAGAAGGGAGGAAAUGGGGGUGCAGAUGGGAGGGGUGGGGCAGGAAUCCAAAGUGGCUGUGGAAAAAUUCGGCUGAGGUGCCGUGGUUGAAGCUUGGCCCCGGGGGAGCGAGGCUCUUCCAAAAGCAACAACAGGAAGGAAAGCGUGCUUUGAUUACAACUUCA